UGACAUCAGCUGGAAGGAGCCACUGCAGGGGUUAGUCAGGCAUACCUGAACCUUAACAUGGUUAAGAGUCAGCCUAGAACCCAGUGUAGGAGAUGAACCCAAAAGAAACCACAAGAGGAGGAAUGUGGCCAUCUGAAAGCAGCAUUCAGCUUCCACACAGGACCACAGUGAGAAAGGUGAGGGCCCUCAGAGCAAACCUGUUUCUCAUAAAGCCCAGUUAUGCUCAUGACUUGGGACAACUUGGGGAUUUCUGGAUCAAAACUUGUUUUGGGGAAGGAAGCCAAAGCAAAGUCCCAGUGAUGGCUGGAAGGAACAGGUAAGAAAGGCCGUGCCUAUCCUAUAAACUGGUGGAGCUCAGAAAGCAAUGGCAUUAGAGGAGGUACACCCUGGCGGCUGGCUGACGCAGUGACCAAUAGGAACAAACCACUUCUCUCUCAUUGCUCUGCCAUUAGAGAUGCUGACAAGGCCAGGUGUGCAUGUCUCAGCCUCCCAUAAAGCUAGUGUACGUGGGCCAUGCGUCGUGGUCAGCAACCCAGAGAAGGAGCUGCAGACAGGCAUCCGGGAAGCUCGUGCAUCUUUAAUAGAUGGAACUGAGAGGAAGAACAUGGAAACUCUCCCUCUCUCUCUUUUCUUUGUACAAUUGUGGCAGCCUCUUUGCAUCAAUGAAUUGAUGAAGAGGAGGUUGGAAAGUUGGAUAUUGAUCCUUCAUGGCAUAAGAAGCUGUGAUAAUCGCCCCAGACUUCAUACCAAGGGAGAGAAGUAAAAGGUCGUAUUGCCCAUGCCACCACUCUUUGAAUUUACUUGCAGCCAAAAGCCUUCCUAACUGAUAAAAUAUCAUCAAAUUAUUUUUUCUUUAAAAAAUGCUUAAUUUGUGAAGAAUUUGAGACGUGUAUAAUUUGCUUUUUCCCCAGAAUAGUAUCACUUAAAUAGCUUUCCUUGACUAGUUUGCUUCAAGGUACCUCAAGGGAGCAUAACAGGCACAUUAUGGUUAGAUAUAGUAAGGAUCACCUUUAUUCUGAAAUGCCAUCUUAGGAGUAUUUACAAAUAAAUAAGGGCUUACUUUUGCUGACACAUUUGCAAGGAUUGGCCCAGAAAGAUUGAGGUUUUGUUGUGCUGGUCUAUUUAAUUCGAUCACAGUUCACAUUGUUCUUGUAUUGCUAAUGCCACUGCUCUGAAUUUACUUGCAGCCGAAAACCUUCCUAACUGAUAAAACAUCAUUGAAUUAUUUUUCUUUAAAAAAUGCUUUAAUUAUUCAAGAAUUGAGAAGUGUAUAAUUUACUUUUUUCCCCAGAACAGUAUCACUUAAAUUAGUUUUACUUCACUUCAAGAUACCUCAAGUGAAUGCAAAGUAAAACCACCACACGCCUAUUAGAAUGGUGAUAUGGCUUUGCUCUGUGUCUGCACCUAAAUCUCAUUAAUGAUGUUGAACAUUUUUUCAUAUGUUUCUUGGCCAUUUGUAUAUCUUCUUUUGAGAAUUGUCCAUUCAUGUCCCUAAGUGAGAAUAAGCCAGUCCCAAAAGUUUACAGGGUGACAUACUGUAUGAUUCCACUUGUAUAAACUUCUUCAAGUGACAAAAUCAUUGAAAUGGAGAUUAGAUGAGUUGCUGAGGGUUACAGAGAGGGCGAGGUGGGAAGAAAGUGGUUUAACUGUAAAAGGUCAACACGAGGAUCCUUUUGUGGUGGAGGUGUUCUGAAGCUUGAUCAUACCAAUGUCAGUGUCUUGGUUUGUGAUGGUGUACUAUAGUUCUGCAAGAUAUGACCACUGGGGAGAAACUGGAUAAAGUGCACACACGGUCUCUCUGUGUUGUUUAUACAUAUGAAACUACAAUUAUCUCAAAUAAAAAGUUUAAUUAGAACAAAAGCUUGUAGCACAGUGACGGGACAAAGGUCCAAAGUUUUGAGGUUCGGAAGUUUGCAGAGGUGUCCGUAGUUGGGUUUCUAAGGGGUAACAGGGUUACGUUCCCCAGGCAAUGUCAUAGACCAGAUCUGGGAUCACCAUUAAAUACUGGGAGUUCUAGGACGGAAAGCUAAAUACAAGCCUCUGUGGAGCCCUGCGUUGAGCUGUGGUUCAGAGAAAGCUGCAGGCCUAAGGGAGAGGUGAAUCCAGACGCAUCAUAGACCAGGAACUGAGACAAGCUACCUGUGAUAUCCCCAGCAUCAGCACAGGGCAAGGACCCCAAGCAUUUUGUGAGUUGGCUCUGGACUAGGGACCCAAGAAACAGCUGAAAAGGCACGGGACAGAGAGGAAUGGGUUCAGAAGAGACGAAAAAGACAGAGAGAAACUAGAGUAUUCCACUCAACCUGGGACUACCAUACAUGAAGAAAAGUAAUGUAGAAAACAACCAGCAUAGCCCCCAGAGCACAAAUUCCCACCAGAUGAAAGAAAAAUAAUACAACAAUUCAGAAGGACCCAGAGAAAUUAAGCAAUAACAGGCUGAAAUUAAAUAAUAACAGACAUAAACAACAAAUCAGGAUGAGCUGUUACAAAUUAAUGAUAGUCAUUUAACUUCAUAGAUGGAAUGUACUUCAUAGAUGGAAUGUACUCUAUCCUAGGCACAAACUAAUAAACUUAUGUUCUUCAGUUAGAACUCAAGAAUUCACCAGAGUGCAGGGCAGACCCGCAAAAUAAGCACAUGGAAAGCAACUAAGAACACGCAGGGUCUUUAUAGCAGCAUGAUUUAUAAUCCUUUGGGUAUAUA
rnacentral:lncRNA from 1 species